GAUUAAGCAAUGACGAAGAAGAGUAAUCUAUGCUGACACUUAAGAGAGCUGGUGGUUGGUGCGAACCAGUGUGAUUACGUAGAUGAAUGGGCUUCCGAGCUUCCAAACCGAACUGAUCGAUUGUAGUAGGCUUUGGCGAUUUCGUCUCAUCGUUACCCGAGACAAUACAAAAGUUAUUUAACUUUGUAUUGCUAAAGUUGAGCUACUUAGCUAAUAAAGGUGGUACCGCGGUCCCUCGUCCUUUAA
rnacentral:ncRNA from 1 species